rnacentral:lncRNA from 1 species
AUGGCAUUGGGCUUAGCUUAGAUAGCUUUUAUAAUGUUGAGGUGUGUUCCUACUAUCCCUAGUUUUUCCCAUGUUUUGAACAUGAAGAGGUACUGUAUUUUCUCAAAUGCUUUUUCUGUAUCUAUUGAGAUAAUCAUAUGAUUCUUGUCUUUAAGUCUAUUGAUAUGAUGUAUUACAUUUAUUGAUUUACAUAUGUUGAACCAACCUUGCAUCCCUUGGAUGAAAGCCACUUGAUCAUAGUGUACUAUAUUUUUAAUAUGUUUUUGUAUGUGAUUUGCCAGGAUUUUAUUGGCAAUUUUUAUGUCUAUGUAUCUAGGGAUAUUGGUCUGAAGUUUUCUUUCCUUGAUACGUCUUUGUCUGAUUUUGGUAUCAGGGUGAUACUAGCCUCAUAGAAUGAGUUUGGAAGGGUUUGCUCCUUUCCUAUUUCAUGGCAUAAUUUGUAGAGUAUUGGUAUUAGUUCUUCUUUGAAGGUCUUGUAGAACUUGGCUGAGAAUCUGUCUGGUCCCGGGCUUUUCUUGGUUGGUAGACUUUUUUUUCCUUAAAUAUAUAUAUAUAUAUAUAUAUUUUUUUUUUAGUUGUAGUUUUAGUUUAGUUGUAGAGAGAUCACGAACAUGCUGAACUCUUUUAUUGGGGAAAACCAUUUAAAUGAGGCAAGGGGUAGGAUUAUAAGGGAACAGGUGAGUGUAGCUCAACCCCUCUGGGUGUUGCCUACUCCUAGGGCUACUCCCAGGGCCACACCUUAUUAUCUGAGUGAGGGAAAAGACUUGAGUCACAAGUCAUGGCACUAGGUGCCAAACUAAGUGAUCUUUCAGAUCCCCGUGGUGCAUCAGGACUUAAAGGUGAGUGCAGUCGCUCCUCACACACAAUACUUUAAUUUAUUUUUAUGUGGUGCUGAGGGUGGAACCCAGUGCCUCACACGUGGUGGGCGAGUGCUUUACCUCUGAGCCACAACCCCAUACCAAACUGGCUUUUGAUGGUGUCUUCUAUUUCAUUGCUUGAGAUUGACCUAUUUAAAUUAUGUAUGUCCUCCUGGUUCAGUUUGGGUAGGUCAUAUGUGUCUAGAAAUUUGUUUAUGUGUUUGAGAUUUUAUUGGAGUAUGCAUUUUCAAAAUAGUUUCUAAUUAUCUUCUGUAUUUCAAUAGUGUCCAUCGUAAUUUCCUUUUUCAACACAAAUUUUAGUAAUUUGAGUUUUCUCUCUCCUCUUGUUAGCGUAGUGAAGGUUUAUCAAUUUUGUUUAUUUUUUCAAAUAACCAACUUUUUGUUUCAAUUUCAUUGAUUUCAGCUCUGAUUUUAAUUAUUACCUGUCUUCUACUUUUGGUGUUGAUUUGUUCUUCUUUUUCAAGGGCUUUGAGAUAUAAUGUUAGGUCAUCUAUUUGUUGUAUUUGUGUUCGUUUAAUGAAUAAGCUCAAUGCAAUGAACUUUCCUCUUAGCACUGCCUUCAUAGAU